rnacentral:rRNA from 1 species
CAGUCGCCGCGGUAAUACGAAGGGUGCAAGCGUUAAUCGGAAUUACUGGGCGUAAAGCGUGCGUAGGCGGUGAGUUAAGUCUGCUGUGAAAUCCCCGGGCUCAACCUGGGAAUGGCAGUGGAUACUGGCUCGCUAGAGUGUGUCAGAGGAUGGUGGAAUUUCCGGUGUAGCAGUGAAAUGCGUAGAGAUCGGAAGGAACAUCUGUGGCGAAGGCGACUAUCUGGGCCAACACUGACACUGAGGCACGAAAGCGUGGGGAGCAAACAGGAUUAGAUACCCCCGUAGUCCCUGUCUCUUAUAC